rnacentral:piRNA from 1 species
UAGCUGACAGCACAUGCCACCAGGCCU